UCUGUUGCUAGGUAACAGGAAGGAGUCUAGCCCAAAGGUCAGAAGCUUGGGACAUGUGACUAAAAGCCAGGAGCUUCUCGGUGGGGGCAGUAACUUUGACAGGAGCCAGGGGCCCAGGAAACAUGAGGGAAUGCCUUCUGUCCCAGGGAUAUUGUGGACCAAACAAACCCUUCAGUAAGGAUUUCUGAUGCCAGUCUGUAGACUGAGAAUCAUUGAGCUAUUUCAGCAGUUCUAUAUUUCUAAUGGUGCAGGGUCAAGGCGAGCUCAGUGGGAUACAUAGUGGAAGCCAUUGCUUGUAACUGAUCCCCUUCAGACAUAGCUUCUGGGCAUUCUGGAAAUGGACAAC
rnacentral:lncRNA from 1 species